rnacentral:rRNA from 1 species
GAUGAACGCUGGCGGCGUGCUUAACACAUGCGAGUCGAACGGAAAGGCUCCUGCUUGCAGGGGUACUCGAGUGGCGAACGGGUGAGUAACACGUGGGUGAUCUGCCCUGCACUUCGGGAUAAGCCUGGGAAACUGGGUCUAAUACCGGAUAGGACGAUGGUUUGGAUGCCAUUGUGGAAAGUUUUUUCGGUGUGGGAUGAGCUCGCGGCCUAUCAGCUUGUUGGUGGGGUAAUGGCCUACCAAGGCGUCGACGGGUAGCCGGCUUGAGAGGGUGUACGGCCACAUUGGGACUGAGAUACGGCCCAGACUCCUACGGGAGGCAGCAGUGGGGAAUAUUGCACAAUGGGCGCAAGCCUGAUGCAGCGACGCCGCGUGGGGGAUGACGGCCUUCGGGUUGUAAACUCCUUUCGCUAGGGACGAAGCGCAAGUGACGGUACCUGGAGAAGAAGCACCGGCUAACUACGUG